AGCCUUGAGGUGUUUUACAUAUUAGAUUGCAAAUCUUAAGUAGCAGAGUAAAGUCUGCCGGGGCUU
rnacentral:tRNA from 1 species